GAGUUUGAUCAUGGCUCAGAUUGAACGCUGGCGGCAUGCCUUACACAUGCAAGUCGAACGGCAGCACGGGAGCUUGCUCCUGGUGGCGAGUGGCGAACGGGUGAGUAAUGCAUCGGAACGUAUCCUGGAGUGGGGGAUAACGUAGCGAAAGUUACGCUAAUACCGCAUAUUCUGUGAGCAGGAAAGCGGGGGACCUUCGGGCCUCGCGCUCUUGGAGCGGCCGAUGUCGGAUUAGCUAGUUGGUGAGGUAAAGGCUCACCAAGGCGACGAUCCGUAGCAGGUCUGAGAGGAUGAUCUGCCACACUGGAACUGAGACACGGUCCAGACUCCUACGGGAGGCGAGCAGGU
rnacentral:rRNA from 1 species